UACGUAGGUGGCGAGCGUUGUCCGGAUUUACUGGGCGUAAAGCGCGCGCAGGCGGCUCUUCAAGUCAGGGGUGAAAGCCCAGAGCUCAACUCUGGAACUGCCUUUGAGACUGAAGAGCUUGAGUACGGGAGAGGUGAGUGGAAUUCCCAGUGUAGAGGUGAAAUUCGUAGAUAUUGGGAAGAACACCGGUGGCGAAGGCGGCUCACUGGCCCGUUACUGACGCUCAGGCGCGACAGCGUGGGGAUCAAACAGG
rnacentral:rRNA from 1 species